rnacentral:rRNA from 1 species
UACGGAGGGGACUAGCGUUGUUCGGAAUUACUGGGCGUAAAGCGCACGUAGGCGGAUUUGUAAGUCAGGGGUGAAAUCCCGGGGCUCAACCCCGGGAGGCGGGCGGAUACUGUCGGGCUAGAGUCCGGAAGAGGCAAGUGGAAUUCCUGGUGUAGCGGUGAAAUGCGCAGAUAUCAGGAGGAACACCGAUGGCGAAGGCAGCUUGCUGGGACGGUACUGACGCUGAGACGCGAAAGCGUGGGGAGCAAACAGG